AAAAGGCGGCGUAAGCUGUCGCUAAAGGAUGGAGGGGCGGUGCAUUAGCUAGUUGGUAAGGUAACGGCUUACCAAGGCGACGAUGCAUAGCCGAGUUGAGAGACUGAUCGGCCACAUUGGGACUGAGACACGGCCCAAACUCCUACGGGAGGCAGCAGUAGGGAAUCUUCCACAAUGGGCGAAAGCCUGAUGGAGCAACGCCGCGUGAGUGAAGAAGGUUUUCGGAUCGUAAAGCUCUGUUGUUGGUGAAGAAGGAUAGAGGUAGUAACUGGCCCCUAUUUGACGGUAAUCAACCAGAAAGUCACGGCUAACUACGUGCCAGCAGCCGCGGUAAUACGUAGGUGGCAAGCGUUGUCCGGAUUUAUUGGGCGUAAAGCGAGCGCAGGCGGAAAGAUAAGUCUGAUGUGAAAGCCCCCGGCUUAACCGAGGAAUUGCAUCGGAAACUGUGUUUCUUGAGUGCAGAAGAGGAGAGUGGAACUCCAUGUGUAGCGGUGGAAUGCGUAGAUAUAUGGAAGAACACCAGUGGCGAAGGCGGCUCUCUGGUCUGUAACUGACGCUGAGGCUCGAAAGCAUGGGUAGCGAACAGGAUUAGAUACCCUGGUAGUCCAUGCCGUAAACGAUGAGUGCUAAGUGUUGGGAGGUUUCCGCCUCUCA
rnacentral:rRNA from 1 species